CGGCAUUACACAGCUUUUGGUGUGCGUUAGCUUUAUAACAUCAUCCCUUCUUCUUUCCUUUUCAACAAGAGCAUAACUCCCGGUUAGCAGUGUUGGUGUCAAUUGUGUUGUCGAAUAUUAAAAAAAAAGCAUCCAAAUUUGCCGGCCCAUCACAAAACCAUCGGCAUACACACCAUUUCAACACCACAUCAGACCGAUGAGUCAUCGUACGCAAUGUACGGUCUACGACGAUACGGUUCGCCACUCCCAGUGUUGUUACUACAAUUACUAGCCAGUUCGCUAUCGAUUCAAGCACAGUUCACAAAUCAACCGGAAAUAAUCAACAAUUUGUUACACACCAUGGCCGAUAGCAGCAAUGUUGAUGCGCAGUUUGUUGGACAGUCGAACAGCUUUGCCACCAAGCUGUACCAGAAAAUAAGUGCACAAAAUGUGGGAGAAAAUGUGGUCGUUUCCCCGUUCUCGAUCAGUGCGUGCCUUUCACUUGCCGCCAUGGGUGCUGGUGGUCUUACCGCGGAAGAAAUGUACUCCGUGCUAGAGUUCGGAACGCCGAAGGAAAAGGAGACAGUAGCCGACAACUAUCGCCGCCUGAUGACGCGCCUCGCAUCCGACAGUACGGUGAAUGUGGCGAAUAAGGUGUACGUUAUGCAGAACUACAACGUCAAGAGCACAUUUAACGCGAUCGCCACGGAAAGCUUCCAGUCGGAGGCGGAGGCGGUCAACUUCGCGGAGAAUGCUGUUGCUGCCAAAAAGAUAAACGGCUGGGUGGAAAGCAAAACGAACAACAAGAUAAAGGAUCUCAUUUCACCGGAUGCGCUGGAUGAGCUCACGCGGAUGGUGCUGGUCAAUGCGGUACACUUCAAGGGUACGUGGACGUACCAGUUCGAUUCGAGCCUGACGCGUCCGUUCCCGUUCUGGGUGAGCGAAACGGAAUCGCGCCAAGUACCGAUGAUGAACAUCAAGAAACACUUCGCGUACAAUAACUUCGAGCAGCACAACUUUGCCGCGCUGGAGUUAACGUACAGCGGCAGCGACAUGACGAUGCUGAUACUGCUCCCACACGAACGGACCGGAUUGGCAGCACUAGAAGAAAAGCUGCCCAGUCUGAAUUUGGCCGAACUGACCACCCAAAUGCACAAGCAGGAGGUCGAAGUAUUCCUGCCCAAAUUUAAGAUCGAAUUUACGCGCGAUCUAAACGACGAUCUGAAGGCGCUCGGCAUGGGCAGGAUGUUCAGUGAUUCGGCUGAAUUUCCCGACUUGUUGGAGCAAAACGACCCGCUCAAGGUGUCCAAAGUCGUCCACAAAGCGUUUAUCGAGGUGAACGAGGAAGGCACUGAAGCGGCGGCAGCAACUGGUAUGAUCAUGAUGAUGCGCUGCAUGCCGAUGCAUCCCUACUUCACGGUCGAUCAUCCGUUCCUUUACGUCCUGAGACAUCAGCAGAUGGUCUACUUUAUGGGACGCGUGGCGAAGGUUGAAGCUUAAGGAGAAGCGGUGAACAAACGGGUUUCCCUCGUUUUGUUUCGAGAGAACGUACGACUGCGCAGCAACAGCAACAGCAAGUGAUAAGACAGCAUGAUUAUGGCAACGUUCUGUAUGAUCAUCUCCGAACCAGUGAAAUUUGUCGCGGAUCAUCCAUUUGUUUACGCGCUAAUGUCACGCGAAAAGAACGUAUUUUUCCUUGGGAAAGCAUGUAAAAUGCUGUAAAAUAGUUU